rnacentral:rRNA from 1 species
GACGAACGCUGGCGGCGUGCUUGACACAUGCAAGUCGAACGGAAAGGCCCUGCUUUUGUGGGGUGCUCGAGUGGCGAACGGGUGAGUAACACGUGAGUAACCUGCCCUUGACUUUGGGAUAACUUCAGGAAACUGGGGCUAAUACCGGAUAGGAGCUCCUGCUGCAUGGUGGGGGUUGGAAAGUUUCGGCGGUUGGGGAUGGACUCGCGGCUUAUCAGCUUGUUGGUGGGGUAGUGGCUUACCAAGGCUUUGACGGGUAGCCGGCCUGAGAGGGUGACCGGCCACAUUGGGACUGAGAUACGGCCCAGACUCCUACGGGAGGCAGCAGUGGGGAAUAUUGCACAAUGGGCGGAAGCCUGAUGCAGCAACGCCGCGUGCGGGAUGACGGCCUUCGGGUUGUAAACCGCUUUCGCCUGUGACGAAGCGUGAGUGACGGUAAUGGGUAAAGAAGCACCGGCUAACUACGUGCCAGCAGCCGCGGUGAUACGUAGGGUGCGAGCGUUGUCCGGAUUUAUUGGGCGUAAAGGGCUCGUAGGUGGUUGAUCGCGUCGGAAGUGUAAUCUUGGGGCUUAACCCUGAGCGUGCUUUCGAUACGGGUUGACUUGAGGAAGGUAGGGGAGAAUGGAAUUCCUGGUGGAGCGGUGGAAUGCGCAGAUAUCAGGAGGAACACCAGUGGCGAAGGCGGUUCUCUGGGCCUUUCCUGACGCUGAGGAGCGAAAGCGUGGGGAGCGAACAGGCUUAGAUACCCUGGUAGUCCACGCUGUAAACGGUGGAUACUAGGUGUGGGGUCCAUUCCACGGGUUCCGUGCCGUAGCUAACGCUUUAAGUACCCCGCCUGGGGAGUACGGCCGCAAGGCUAAAACUCAAAGGAAUUGACGGGGCCCCGCACAAGCGGCGGAGCAUGCGGAUUAAUUCGAUGCAACGCGUAGAACCUUACCUGGGUUUGACAUGGAUCGGGAGUGCUCAGAGAUGGGUGUGCCUCUUUUGGGGUCGGUUCACAGGUGGUGCAUGGCUGUCGUCAGCUCGUGUCGUGAGAUGUUGGGUUAAGUCCCGCAACGAGCGCAACCCUUGUUCACUGUUGCCAGCACGUUAUGGUGGGGACUCAGUGGAGACCGCCGGGGUCAACUCGGAGGAAGGUGGGGAUGACGUCAAGUCAUCAUGCCCCUUAUGUCCAGGGCUUCACGCAUGCUACAAUGGCUGGUACAGAGAGUGGCGAGCCUGUGAGGGUGAGCGAAUCUCGGAAAGCCGGUCUCAGUUCGGAUUGGGGUCUGCAACUCGACAUCAUGAAGUCGGAGUCGCUAGUAAUCGCAGAUCAGCAACGCUGCGGUGAAAACGUUCCCGGGGCU